GCCGCUGUAGCUCACUUGGUGAGAGCAUCGCAUUCGUAAUGCGAAGACGUGGGUUCGUACCCCACCUGCGGCC